GCGAUGAAUCAGGCGGCCGCGGGAAAGAAGGGUUUGCUUAACGGCAGAGCGUCCUUUCCUGAGGAAAGUCCGGACUCCGAAGGGCAUGAUGCCGGGUAAUUCCCGGGACCGCAGGGCCUUAAACUCUACGGGACAGAAAGCGCAGCAGAAAGUAUACCGCCCGGGGGGUUCCCUUCGGGUAAGGGUGAAAUGGUGUGGAGAAAACUGAAGUUUUCCCCUUAAAAAGGCGAAAAACUUUCAGGUUUUUUGCCAGGGUAAGAGCCCACCUCGGCGGCGGCAACGCCGCCGGAAAGAUUUCGCCGGCGCCGGAAAAGAUGAUUUUUGCCUGAGGCAAAGGUCCUUUUCUACGCGGCUGAAAAACGGCAAGCCUCAUCAGGAGCAAAGUCAAGCAGUGUGCCGGGGCGAUAGUUCCGGGGCCGGAGGCAACUCCGGGCGGGCGGCCCGUCCGUUAAACACGGGUAGACUGCACGGAUCCCGGCUGAAAAGCCGGGACCAGACAGAUGGCCGCUAAAAUCGCGGUUCAAAGGCCUUUGCCCUUGAGUUUCCUUGAGGAAACUCAAGGCGGAGACCGGCGGGCCGCGGUGGAGACAGAAUCCGGCUUAUGGUUCAUCGCUUUU
rnacentral:RNase_P_RNA from 1 species